ensembl:lncRNA
AUUAAACUCAAAGAGGAAAACACGGCAAACACUUGCCAAAAUCUCACUACCUGAAAGGCAGAUGGAAAAUAAUAAAAGAAGAAGCGAAGUGCAGAUCUGUCACCUGUGGAAAUAUGGGAAUAAUACCUGCAUUUUCAUUUUCUAAUUACCGCCUCCCUCCUAAUAGAGUGGUUUUUAUUUCCUGUCGUUCUGCCUUCACUAACUCCUUUGCAAAUAUUAUACACUGUCGGAUCUGACAGCAUGGAGAAUUGCCUCCUUAAACCGGUCUUCUGCCUUUUUUUUUUUUUCUUUCUUUUUUUUCCCCUUUCUCCCUCACCUAGUUUAUUUUUAUCCGUCUCUCCAUUUUUAGUGGCGUUAUUAUUUCUGUUCGCGCGAAACGUACGAGUAUGAUUAAGGAUAAAUAUGAUUUGAAAGGAAAUUUGGAAAAGAAAAAGCAACAAAGCUUAACAGGAAGAAGGUCAGAGUUGGAGAUGAAGAAACAGACUGAAGCUUCUGCUCAGUAAUAUCCCUUCUGAAUUGGACGUCACCAAAUCAGACGAAUGCAAAGGUAAAUAAAGAUAGAGGUAGUGGUAAAGAUAGAAAGAAAUGGAGGAUAUGGGGAUGGUGAAGAAAGAUGGAGAUGGGCGGUAAGUAUUAAUAUGGAUACGAGAAUGGAGAUGGGACACGCCGGUGGAGAAGGGAACGAGGAUGGGGAUGGAGAGAAGGACGGAGAUCAGGGGGGAAGAUGUUGAUAGAUACGAGUAUGGAGAUGGGAGGUAAGGAUGGAGAUGGGAGGUGAAGAAUGAGAUGGUCAUGGAGAUGGAUGCGAGGAUGAUGAGAGGAGGUGGACAUAACGAUGGAUAUGAAGAUGGAGGUCAGGGGUGAUAAUGUGAAAAGUGAAGAUGGAUAUGAGGAUGGAGACUGGAGGUGAUGGUGGAGAUGGAUAUGAGGAUGGAGACUGGAGGUGAUGGUGGAGAUGGAUAUGAUGAUGGAGACUGGAGGUGAUGGUGGAGAUGGAUAUGAGGAUGG